UAUGUGUUUAUUAAUUUUUUAUUCCUCUUUCACACACGUAUCUCUUUCAUCAUCUCCUUCAGCAAUUCAGUAUUCACCGCCUCCAUCUCUAUCUCCACUCUCCCAUUCUCUUUCUUCUUCCCUCUUCCCUGUUGCUCUAUUCUCUUCCCAUUCAUGAAUAUGAGCCACCAUGAAUUUCCUCUCUACCAUCACUGAUCUAUAUCCUUCACCGGUUUUUUUUCCCCUUUUGUUCGCUCUCUCCUCUGUUCUAUCGGCGUGGGUCUGGUUGUGGGUCUGGGUUGUGGUUGUGAUUUCCGAUUGUGGGUCUGGUUGUGGGUCUGGUUGUGAUUUCCGAUUGUGAUCGGCGUGGGCAUAGGUCUUUGUGUUGUGGGUCUUUCCUCUCUGUUCUAUUUCUCGGGGAACUGACCAAGCCCUUUCGUCUCAUCUGAGAGUAGGUUCUUUGAAUCAAUUCUUGGCGCCGAUUCGCUGUUCUCAGAGUCGCCGAAAUCCUCUCUACCAUCGCCGAUUCGCUGUUCAUUCUCGGUAAUAAACCCAGUUGUUUGGCCAGAAAAUAUUUGAGUGAGAUUUAUUGGAAUUUGAUCUAGGCUGAGCCCCUUAAAAGCUUUCAGGCCUAGAGCUGAGGUUGGGCUCAACUAAGGUCAUCAUAUAUUUAGCCACACCAGGAGCAAAACAACGCAUCUUUGAUUUUUGUAUGUAUUUGGGCUCAACCAAGAGGAGGUUUGUUUGAGCUUGCGAGUUGUCCAAACUAUUUUGGGGAGGAUUAUCCCAAGGGAAGAAAAGCUGUAAUUCCCUUCUUGUAUUGACACAAAAACUUUUCUUGUUUUGUUUUGGUUUUUGGGGAUUUGGAUGUGUAAUUGCAAUUAGUACUUUAUAAACAAAGAUUUGGAUUUAGCUAUUGAUAUUGAUACGGCAAUGAUGAAUUGCUUAUCUUUUGAUGUUUUACAAUGAUAUUGAUAUUGAUAUUCGGAUGA